CGGGGAGUGGCGCAGUGGAAGCGCGCCUGCUUUGGGAGCAGGAGGUCGCGGGUUCGACCCCCGCCUCCCCGACCA
rnacentral:tRNA from 1 species